rnacentral:rRNA from 1 species
UACAGAGGGUGCAAGCGUUAAUCGGAAUUACUGGGCGUAAAGCGUGCGUAGACGGUUAUGUAAGUCGGGUGUGAAAGCCCCGGGCUCAACCUGGGAAUUGCAUUCGAGACUGCAUAGCUAGGGUGCGGAAGAGGGAAGCGGAAUUUCCGGUGUAGCGGUGAAAUGCGUAGAUAUCGGAAGGAACACCAGUGGCGAAGGCGGCAUCCUGGACCGAUAUUGACGCUGAUGCGCGAAAGCCAGGGGAGCAAACGGG